rnacentral:rRNA from 1 species
CAGUCGCCACGGGAAUACGAAGGGUGCAAGCGUUAAUCGGAAUUACUGGGCGUAGAGCGUGCGUGGGCGGUUUCUUAAGUCUGCUGUGAAAUCCCCGGGCUCAACCUGGGAAUGGCAGUGGAUACUGGGAAGCUAGAGUGUGUCAGAGGAUGGUGGAAUUCCCGGUGUAGCGGUGAAAUGCGUAGAGAUCGGGAGGAACAUCAGUGGCGAAGGCGGCCACCUGGGACAACACUGACGCUGAGGCACGAAAGCGUGGGGAGCAAACAGGAUUAGAUACCCCCGUAGUCCCUGUCUCUUAUAC